rnacentral:rRNA from 1 species
UAUGAAGUUGGAAUCGCUAGUAAUCGCGGAUCAGCAUGCCGCGGUGAAUACGUUCCCGGGCCUUGUACACACCGCCCGUCACACCAUGAGAGUCGGGAACACCCGAAGUCCGUAGCCUAACCGCAAGGGGGGCGCGGCCGAAGGUGGGUUCGAUAAUUGGGGUGAAGUCGUAACAAGGUAUC